GACGAACGCUGGCGGCGUGCUUAACACAUGCGAGUCGAACGGAAAGGCCCUGCUUUUGUGGGGUGCUCGAGUGGCGAACGGGUGAGUAACACGUGAGUAACCUGCCCUUGACUUUGGGAUAACUUCAGGAAACUGGGGCUAAUACCGGAUAGGAGCUCCUGCUGCAUGGUGGGGGUUGGAAAGUUUCGGCGGUUGGGGAUGGACUCGCGGCUUAUCAGCUUGUUGGUGGGGUAGUGGCUUACCAAGGCUUUGACGGGUAGCCGGCCUGAGAGGGUGACCGGCCACAUUGGGACUGAGAUACGGCCCAGACUCCUACGGGAGGCAGCAGUGGGGAAUAUUGCACAAUAGGCGGAAGCCUGAUGCAGCAACGCCGCGUGCGGGAUGACGGCCUUCGGGUUGUAAACCGCUUUCGCCUGUGACGAAGCGUGAGUGACGGUAAUGGGUAAAGAAGCACCGGCUAACUACGUG
rnacentral:rRNA from 1 species